rnacentral:rRNA from 1 species
AACGAACGCUGGCGGCAGGCUUAACACAUGCAAGUCGAACGCCCCGCAAGGGGAGUGGCAGACGGGUGAGUAACGCGUGGGAACGUGCCCUUCGCUUCGGAAUAGCCCCGGGAAACUGGGAGUAAUACCGGAUACGCCGUAUUGGGAAAGAUUUAUCGGCGAAGGAUCGGCCCGCGUUAGAUUAGCUAGUUGGCGGUGUAAUGGACCACCAAGGCUACGAUCUAUAGCUGGUCUGAGAGGAUGAUCAGCCACACUGGGACUGAGACACGGCCCAGACUCCUACGGGAGGCAGCAGUGGGGAAUCUUGGACAAUGGGCGCAAGCCUGAUCCAGCCAUGCCGCGUGAGUGAAGAAGGCCUUAGGGUUGUAAAACUCUUUCGCCGGAGAAGAUAAUGACGGUAUCCGGAGAAGAAGCCCCGGCUAACUUCGUGCCAGCCGCCGCAGUAAUAC